CCUACGGGUGGCAGCAGUGAGGAAUAUUGGUCAAUGGGCGCGAGCCUGAACCAGCCAAGUAGCGUGAAGGAUGACUGCCCUACGGGUUGUAAACUUCUUUUAUAAAGGAAUAAAGUGUGGCACGUGUGCCUUUUUGUAUGUAUUUUAUGAAUAAGGAUCGGCUAACUCCGUGCCAGCAGCCGCGGUAAUACGGAGGAGCCGAGCGUUAUCCGGAUUCAUUGGGCUUAAAGGGAGCGUAGGAGGGCGUUAAAGUCAGCUGUAAAAUCGCGCGGCUCAACCGCGCCCCGCAGUUGAAACUGGAAGCCUUGAGUUCACAAGAGGCGGGCGGAAUUCGUGGUGUAGCGGUGAAAUGCAUAGAUAUCACGAGGAAACCCGAUUGCGAAGGCAGCCUGCCGGGGUGCGACUGACGCUGAGGCUCGAAGGUGCGGGUAUCAAACAGGAUUAGAUACCCUGGUAGUC
rnacentral:rRNA from 1 species